rnacentral:rRNA from 1 species
GCAGGCGCGAAACCUUUACUCUGUACGCAAGUGCGAUAAGGGGACUCCGAGUGUGAAGGCAUAGAGCCUUCACUUUUGUACACCGUAAGGUGGUGUACGAAUAAGGGCUGGGCAAGACCGGUGCCAGCCGCCGCGGUAAUACCGGCAGCCCGAGUGAUGGCCGAUAUUAUUGGGCCUAAAGCGUCCGUAGCUGGCCGGACAAGUCCGUUGGGAAAUCUGUUCGCUUAACGAGCAGGCGUCCAGCGGAAACUGUUCGGCUUGGGACCGGAAGACCUGAGGGGUACGUCCGGGGUAGGAGUGAAAUCCUGUAAUCCUGGACGGACCACCGGUGGCGAAAGCGCCUCAGGAGGACGGAUCCGACAGUGAGGGACGAAAGCUAGGGUCUCGAACCGGAUUAGAUACCCGGGUAGUCCUAGCUGUAAACGAUGCCCGCUAGGUGUGGCGCAGGCUACGAGCCUGCGCUGUGCCGUAGGGAAGCCGAGAAGCGGGCCGCCUGGGAAGUACGUCUGCAAGGAUGAAACUUAAAGGAAUUGGCGGGGGAGCACUACAACCGGAGGAGCCUGCGGUUUAAUUGGACUCAACGCCGGACAUCUCACCAGCUCCGACAGUAGUAAUGACGGUCAGGUUGAUGACCUUACCCGAUGCUACUGAGAGGUGGUGCAUGGCCGCCGUCAGCUCGUACCGUGAGGCGUCCUGUUAAGUCAGGCAACGAGCGAGACCCGCACUCCUAAUUGCCAGCAGUACCCUUUGGGUAGCUGGGUACAUUAGGUGGACUGCCGCUGCUAAAGCGGAGGAAGGAACGGGCAACGGUAGGUCAGUAUGCCCCGAAUGAGCUGGGCAACACGCGGGCUACAAUGGUCGAGACAAUGGGAUGCAACUCCGAGAGGAGGCGCUAAUCUCCUAAACUCGAUCGUAGUUCGGAUUGAGGGCUGAAACUCGCCCUCAUGAAGCUGGAUUCGGUAGUAAUCGCGUGUCAGAAGCGCGCGGUGAAUACGUCCCUGCUCCUU